UAUUGCACAAUGGGGGAAACCCUGAUGCAGCGACGCCGCGUGAGUGAAGAAGUAUUUCGGUAUGUAAAGCUCUAUCAGCAGGGAAGAAAAUGACGGUACCUGACUAAGAAGCCCCGGCUAACUACGUGCCAGCAGCCGCGGUAAUACGUAGGGGGCAAGCGUUAUCCGGAUUUACUGGGGGUAAAGGGAGCGUAGGUGGCAUGGUAAGCCAGAAGUGAAACCCCGGUGCUCAACCCCGCGGAUUGCUUUUGGAACUAUCAGGCUGGAGUGCUGGAGGGGUAAGCGGAAUUCCUAGUGUAGCGGUGAAAUGCGUAGAUAUUAGGAGGAACACCGGUGGCGAAGGCGGCUUACUGGACAGAAACUGACACUGAGGCUCGAAAGCGUGGGGAGCAAACAGG
rnacentral:rRNA from 1 species